rnacentral:rRNA from 1 species
UACGGAGGAGGCAAGCGUUAUCCGGAAUUAUUGGGCGUAAAGCGUCCGCAGGUGGCUAUUCAAGUCUGCGGUCAAAGACUGGGGCUUAACCCUGGAAAGGCCGUGGAAACUGAAGAGCUAGAGUGCAGUAGGGGUAGAGGGAAUUCCCGGUGUAGCGGUGAAAUGCGUAGAGCUCGGGAAGAACAUCGGUGGCGAAGGCGGGAUCCUGGGCCAGUACUGACGCUGAGGAGCGAAAGCGUGGGGAGCAAACAGG